GGUGCCUGUGCUUUCUCCGCAGGUGAAAAGGGAAGAGGGUGCAAAUCCCUCACGGUCCCGCCGCUGUAAUGGAAGAGUCCGACGCAACGAUGUCACUGGAUGAACUGGGAAGACUGUGCCGGAUGAUGACGCCUGAGUCAGAAGACCUGCCUUUCUGU
rnacentral:ncRNA from 1 species